GUUGGUUUUCCAUGAGGCACUUGUUCAUGACAACGAGAAAUUAAAGAACUCUAAUAAAUGAUACUUUCGUCAUAAGAAAAAUGCAUUUGCAACAAAAAAAAUAGAAGUUAAAGGACACGUUAAUUGGACUAAUGUGCUUUUAUCUGUAAUCAUUGAAGAGUGCCACAAUGAAAUUGAGCGUCUAAUCUCUAAUGCACAAACAUUUUUUUGGCCUAGUCCCUUUGAAGAUUCUUACAUUAUUGAAAUUUCUUGUAAGCUGCCCUUUGAACUUGUGAGAUAUUCAUUAUGUCCAAAAGCUAUGAGCCAUUAUUUAGUUUUGCUGGUGGUGAAGAUUUAUCUUUCACUUUCUUGAGAUCCCGUCAUCUUUGAGCUCAUAUACUCUCUAUUCUCCUUGCAUCAGAUUUGGGUAUUCUUCCAAUGCAGUUAUGUUAAGAAAUGGUGGUGUUGUUCUCUCGUGUAACCGAUGUUUUUUGAUUUGCAUCUCUAUUGCAUCGGGACCAUGAAAGUUGUUCUCUCCUACCCCCACCUCCCGUUACUGUUGUUAUUCGUGAUAUGUUCAUCCUUUCCUCAUGGGGAGGUUGGACCAUUCCUUGCAAAGCUAAUUGGAAAACAGUUCCAGUUUUUUUGAAUCGUUUGGCUUGAACAAUGUUCAAUGUCUUCUAGUAGUUAUAUACCUGUUUGUACUUGUUGAAAAAGGUAGUAUGGGGCAUGACGAUUUUCUUUAACCAGUAUGUAAUUCUGGUGGUGUUUGGGUUUGUUCUUGUGCCUUUGCGGGGUAAUUCUUGGUGAAUCUGAUCUGCAUUAAACCUUGCU
rnacentral:lncRNA from 1 species